AUUGAACGCUGGCGGCAGGCUUAACACAUGCAAGUCGAGCGGAGCGAGGGUGCUCGCACCUUAGCUUAGCGGCGGACGGGUGAGUAAUGCUUAGGAAUCCGCCUAUUAGUGGGGGACAACAUUCCGAAAGGGAUGCUAAUACCGCAUACGCCCUACGGGGGAAAGCAGGGGAUCACUUGUGACCUUGCGCUAAUAGAUGUGCCUAAGUCGGAUUAGCUAGUUGGUGGGGUAAAGGCCUACCAAGGCGACGAUCUGUAGCGGGUCUGAGAGGAUGAUCCGCCACACUGGGACUGAGACACGGCCCAGACUCCUACGGGAGGCAGCAGUGGGGAAUAUUGGACAAUGGGGGGAACCCUGAUCCGGCCAUGCCGCGUGUGUGAAGAAGGCCUUUUGGUUGUAAAGCACUUUAAGCGAGGAGGAGGCGCUCUAGGUUAAUACCCUAGAUGCGUGGACGUUACUCGCAGAAUAAGCACCGGCUAACUCUGUGCCAGCAGCCGCAGUAACAC
rnacentral:rRNA from 1 species